UGGAAUUACAGGCAUGCGCCACCACACAUGGCUGGUGUCACAUGUUUUGGGGCCUGGUUUGGAAGCACAAAACAGGGAAGAAGUGACAGGGGGAGCACAGACAUCCCCGUGAUGGAACCUUAUGAAAGUGUUAACUCACCAGAAAACCACCUCUGGGCCAUAUCCUGUUGUCAUAAAAUCACUGAAGGCAUGGGACUAUCAGCGAAAGCAUCCGACUCAUCUCAGCAAAGCUCUGUGGAACCUGAAGAGACAGCACAGGUCUGCCUGAAUCCUCCUGAGUUUCAAGUGCACUCAGUGAAUGACCCCCCUCUUGCAGGCUAGCCCAGGACACAGAUAGCUCUCUUGACCUAAGACAGACCAGGAUGGAGACCCCCAGCAGUGGAGUCCAGGACAGAGUUUACAGAAGCAUGGAUCGGGACAUGAACCCCAGUUUUGCCCCUUCUGAACAGUGUAUCCUUGAGCAAGUGGCUCUGCCUCUGGGUUUUAGUCUCCACAUAUUUAAGAUGGGUGGCUUGGAUUGUUCUGCAAAAUCAGUGGUGUAGACUGCGAAGCCUUCAGCACACUGUCAGCUUGGGAUAACAGUACAUGAAAUGAAGGUGGGGCUCCUUGGGGAUGGACAGCGAGGGCGGGGGUGAAAGGAAGCCCCAGGCUGGGGGAGAGAUGGCAGCUCUCCUGAGGCGCCACUGAGGCUGCCAGUGUGGGAGUGGAAGGAGUAUUAGAACCAUCAGGUAUUUAUAGGCCUCCCUCUAGGCUUGCCAGG